GUUAAAACUUUCAACAACGGAUCUCUUGGUUCUGGCAUCGAUGAAGAACGCAGCGAAAUGCGAUAAGUAAUGUGAAUUGCAGAAUUUAGUGAAUCAUCGAAUCUUUGAACGCACAUUGCGCCCUAUGGUAUUCCGUAGGGCAUGCCUGUUCGAGCGUCAUUGCAA
rnacentral:rRNA from 1 species